rnacentral:rRNA from 1 species
CCUACGGGAGGCUGCAGUCGAGGAUCUUCGGCAAUGAGCGCAAGCUUGACCGAGCGACGCCGCGUGCGCGAUGAAGGCCUUCGGGUUGUAAAGCGCUUUAGGGGGGGAGAAAAGCCCGCAAGGGUGUGAUCUAUCCCCAAAAUAAGCACGGGCUAAGUUCGUGCCAGCAGCCGCGGUAAGACGAACCGUGCGAACGUUGUUCGGAAUCACUGGGCUUAAAGGGCGCGUAGGCGGGCUAUCAAGUCUGGGGUGAAAUCCCGCGGCUCAACCGUGGAACUGCCUUAGAUACUGACGGCCUUGAGGGAGGUAGGGGCGUGCGGAACUGUAGGUGGAGCGGUGAAAUGCGUUGAUAUCUACAGGAACUCCGGUGGCGAAAGCGGCGCGCUGGACCUCUUCUGACGCUGAGGCGCGAAAGCUAGGGGAGCAAACGGGAUUAGAUA